UAAGGAAUAUUGGACAAUGGAGGCAACUCUGAUUCAGCCAUGCCGCGUGAAGGAAUAAGGCCCUAUGGGUUGUAAACUUCUUUUAGACGGGACAAAACCCCUUUACGUGUAAAAGGUUGAUGGUACUGUCAGAAUAAGCAUCGGCUAACUUCGUGCCAGCAGCCGCGGUAAUACGAAGGGGGCUAGCGUUGUUCGGAAUUACUGGGCGUAAAGCGCACGUAGGCGGAUCGAUCAGUUAGGGGUGAAAUCCCGGGGCUCAACCCCGGAACUGCCUCUAAUACUGUCGAUCUGGAGUUCGAGAGAGNUGAGUGGAAUUCCGAGUGUAGAGGUGAAAUUCGUAGAUAUUCGGAGGAACACCAGUGGCGAAGGCGGCUCACUGGCUCGAUACUGACGCUGAGGUGCGAAAGCGUGGGGAGCAAACA
rnacentral:rRNA from 1 species